GCAAGUCGAGCGAGACCUUCUGGUCUAGCGGCGGACGUGUUAGUAACGCGUGGGAACGUACCCUUCUCUGCGGAAUAGCCACUGGAAACGGUGAGUAAUAUCUCAUACGCCCUUCAGGGGAAAGAUUUAUCGGAGAAGGAUCGGCCCGCGUUAGAUUAGAUAGUUGGUGGGGUAAUGGCCUACCAAGUCUACGAUCUAUAGCUGGUUUGAGAGGAUGAUC
rnacentral:rRNA from 1 species